rnacentral:rRNA from 1 species
UGAGGAAUAUUGGUCAAUGGACGGAAGUCUGAACCAGCCAAGUAGCGUGCAGGAUGACGGCCCUAUGGGUUGUAAACUGCUUUUGUAUGGGGAUAAAGUUAGGGACGUGUCCCUAUUUGCAGGUACCAUACGAAUAAGGACCGGCUAAUUCCGUGCCAGCAGCCGCGGUAAUACGGAAGGUCCAGGCGUUAUCCGGAUUUAUUGGGUUUAAAGGGAGCGUAGGCUGGAGAUUAAGUGUGUUGUGAAAUGUAGACGCUCAACGUCUGAAUUGCAGCGUACUGGUUUCCUUGAGUACGCACAACGUUGGCGGAAUUCGUCGUGUAGCGGUGAAAUGCUUAGAUAUGACGAAGAACUCCGAUUGCGAAGGCAGCUGACGGGAGCGCAACUGACGCUUAAGCUCGAAGGUGCGGGUAUCAAACAGGAUUAGAUACCCUGGUAGUCCGCACAGUAAACGAUGGAUGCCCGCUGUUGGUACCUGGUAUCAGCGGCUAAGCGAAAGCAUAAGCAUCCCACCUGGGGAGUACGCCGGCACGGU